GUCUCAGUUCGGAUUGAAGGCUGAAAUUCGCCUUCAUGAAGCCGGAAUUGCUAGUAAUGGCAGGUCAGCAUACUGCCGUGAAUACGUUCCCGGGCCUUGUACACACCGCCCGUCACACCAUGAGAGUUGGGAAUACCCGAAGCCUGUGAGCUAACUGUAAAGAGGCAGCAGUCGAAGGUAGAAUCAAUGAUUGGGGUGAAGUCGUAACAAGGUAUC
rnacentral:rRNA from 1 species